GGGCAACCCUGGUGGCGAGUGGCGAACGGGUGAGUAAUGUAUCGGAACGUGCCCAGUCGUGGGGGAUAACUAUCCGAAAGGAUAGCUAAUACCGCAUACGACCUGAGGGUGAAAGCGGGGGACCUGCAAAGGCCUCGCGCGAUUGGAGCGGCCGAUAUCGGAUUAGCUAGUUGGUGGGGUAAAGGCUCACCAAGGCGACGAUCCGUAGCGGGUCUGAGAGGACGACCCGCCACACUGGAACUGAGACACGGUCCAGACUCCUACGGGAGGCAGCAGUGGGGAAUUUUGGACAAUGGGCGCAAGCCUGAUCCAGCCAUUCCGCGUGAGUGAAGAAGGCCUUCGGGUUGUAAAGCUCUUUCAGCGGGAACGAAACGGUCGAUCCUAAUAAGGUCGGCUAAUGACGGUACCUGCAGAAGAAGCACCGGCUAACUGCGUGCCAGCAGCCGCGGUAAUACGUAGGGUGCGAGCGUUAAUCGGAAUUACUGGGCGUAAAGCGUGCGCAGGCGGUGACAUAAGACAGAUGUGAAAUCCCCGGGCUCAACCUGGGAACUGCGUUUGUGACUGUGUCGCUCGAGUGUAGCAGAGGGGGGUGGAAUUCCACGUGUAGCAGUGAAAUGCGUAGAGAUGUGGAGGAACACCGAUGGCGAAGGCAGCCCCCUGGGUUAACACUGACGCUCAUGCACGAAAGCGUGGGGAGCAAACAGGAUUAGAUACCCUGGUAGUCCACGCCCUAAACGAUGCCAACUAGGUGUUGGGGAAGGAGACUUCCUUAGUGCCGUAGCUAACGCGUGAAGUUGGCCGCCUGGGGAGUACGGUCGCAAGAUUAAAACUCAAAGGAAUUGACGGGGACCCGCACAAGCGGUGGAUGAUGUGGAUUAAUUCGAUGCAACGCGAAAACCUUACCU
rnacentral:rRNA from 1 species